UUGCAAUGGGAGCUAGGGGGCGAGUCCUGCAGACCGGCCCCUCGCCGCUGAUGGGUCCUCCCGGCUUUGGCUGCAGGGGUGGUACACCAACACUACAAGACUUCCAAGCUGCCACUCCCAAUGCAUCGAAGGGAGGAUUCCUAAGGGAGAAGGCGCCAUCAGCUCUUUUAGAGCCUGCGUAUGAAAUAGCCAAUUUCCCUCAUUUAAUAGGUAAAUCACAGUGCUAGAUCCAGUCAUCAGAGGACUAAGGGCAGGAGGAGGGCUCUUGAUGCCGCCAGAGGAAGGAAACCAUUACAGGGCCCUACAGAAGUAGGUCAUGUGCUACAGCUGCUCAUAGUUUGGGAGGAAGAAACAUCGGACCUCAAACCUGGAACACGACUCUUUCAAAAUGUUUGUGAGCGGCCCAAGAAAAACAUCCU